AACAAGGUUUCCGUAGGUGAACCUGCGGAAGGAUCAUUGUCGUUUGCUCGGAAAAACAUGACCCCUGUGCACGUAACCUAAUCUACCCUCGCCGGGGGGGCGUCGCCUCCCCGGCCCACCGGCCGCGGCCCUUGCUCGGGCGGCGCGCCGGGAAUACGGCGCGGUUUGCGCCAAGGAACAUGAGAUGCUGAGGCGGCCGGCGGAGCGUGCUCCGCCUGCCGUCGACGCAGAGGAAUAAUACACGAUGACUCUCGGCAACGGAUAUCUCGGCUCUCGCAUCGAUGAAGAACGUAGCGAAAUGCGAUACGUGGUGUGAAUUGCAGAAUCCCGCGAACCAUCGAGUCUUUGAACGCAAGUUGCGCCCGAGGGAUCCGCCUGAGGGCACGCCUGCCUGGGCGUUAGAAGCCCAUCCACGCUCGGUGCGCACUCAGCCCCGAUGCGGAUCGUGGCCCUCCGAGCCCAAGCGGCGCGGUGGGCCUAAGUGUGCGGCCGCCGGGAGGAGCCGGGAGCGGCGAGUGGUGGAACGCUGCGCGCGCCGCCCCGCGCCCCUCUGCCGGCGCAUGGCCUUGAACGACCCUCGGACGAGGAGCCGCGCCUGCGAACGGCGCGGUGCCCUCGGAUCGAUACCCCACCAGACAGAAACACCUCA
rnacentral:rRNA from 1 species